UUUUUUUUUGAAAUAACACAACUGGAGUAUAUUAAUUAAUAAAUAAAUAACAAUCUAACAACAGUAGUAAAUGGAAAACUGAAACCCUUAAAUAGUCAAACUGCAUGUCGUAAAAAUAAAAACUAUACCCUAACCUAAUUAAUGAACUCUGUCAUUUGAAAAGACAUAUCACAAUCAAAAUUCCAUUCCCAAAACCAGGUCCUUAUGGCUCUUAGAAUCAGAAGCAUUCAACAAUGGCCUGAAAUCCCCACUGCCUAUUUUAUCCUCCUGACUCUUACUUUCCUUCACUACUGUUUUCCCCAAUCGGUGAGCAACCUAACAAUACCUUGAACCUGAUUUUCAUUUUACAAUACUAGAGAUGCUCCCCCAACCAUUCCUCGUGGAUUUUUCUCCACUGCCUCUUUUGCAAAAUCCGGCACCCCGUCAAGCAGAUAAGUCUUCCCUUCAACCCUUAAUCCUUCAAUGGCCAAAAGAUGAGCCACUUGGUUCCCCUGCCUCUGAAAAUGCGAGAAUCCACAGUUUUUAAAUCUCUUCCUCAAAGAGUAUGUAAGCACUGGUGCAUGAACCAUCAUUCUUGUUUGCUACUUGUUUCUUUAUCACCGUAAGCGAAUCGCCUUCGAUCACCACAUCUUGAAACCCCAAAUUAAUUCUCAAUUGGAUUGCUUGGAGACAUGCAAUAGCGUCCGUAGCAAACCCUGUUGGGAAUGAGCUUGAAAAGCCCCAUCAAAACUUACCUUGAUGAAAGUUUCUCUGGAGGCCUCCAUCUUACAAUCUCAACUCUCAUAGCGUGUGACAGUUUGUUUAAGGCAUCUAAUUUUUUUAAUUGAGCUUUAAUCCUUUCUACUAUUGCUUGAGCCUGAUUUUUAAUCCCAUCCUGCAUAUAUUUAUUUCUUUCAGUCCAUAACACCUAAAAAGUACACCCCACCAUCUUGCAAAUCUAGUUAGAUGAGGUAGAAAAUAAAUUAUCAAGUCAAUCCUGAAAGAUAAGACUAGUGAACUCCAUAUGCCAGUAAAUGUUUAAUCUAUUUCACAUUUCUACUGUAGUGAUAUAAUCAUGAAACGAGUGCUCUAUAGUUUCCGGGCCAUUCAGACACCUUGGGCAGCCUAGAGACCCCACUAAUCUUCUAUUGUAGAGGUUGUAGAAAUUAGCAAUAUAAUUUUGAAAAAUCCUCUAGACUGUAAUUUUUAUCUUCUUUGGCAAGUUAAGUUUCCACAACUUCUUGAAAAAAUUUGUAUAAUUUAUUUAAUUCUAGUAAAUCCUAGAUAAAAAUGAAUUUUGUAUAAGAAUGUUGUACCCAUUACGAACCGAGAAUACCCCAGAUGCUUCACCUCACCAACCAAUUGAAUCCUUCUGAAGUGUUUGUGCUAAAGGAAUACACAGAAUUUUCCUUGCUUCCUCAAUACUAAACAUACUAGUAAUCAACUGAAAAUUCCACUACCCAGUUUGUUGAUAAAUUAAAUUAGAGAAAUUUGUUAUAUUUUGGCCAGUAGAUCUUCUCUGAAUUUUGUGCCCCUUCAAUCCAAGAACCCACGC